AUUGAACGCUGGCGGCAGGCCUAACACAUGCAAGUCGAAAGAGUGGCGGACGGGUGAGGACUGUCUGGGAAACUGCCCGAUGGAGGGGGAUAACUACUGGAAACGGUAGCUAAUAACGCAUAACCUCGGAUGUGCCCAGAUGGGAGUAGCUUGUAGGUGAGGUAACGGCUCACCUAGGCGACGAUCCCUAGAUGGUGUGAGUGGAUGACCAGCCACCUUGGAACUGAGACACUGGCCCGACGCCCACGGUAGGCCGCAGUGGGGAAUAUUUCACAAUUGUCGCAAGCCUGAUGCAGCCACGCCGGGUGUCUUGAGAAGGCCUUCGGGUUGUCAAGUAAUUUCAGCGGUGAGGCGUUACCAGCAGAAGUAGCACCUGCUAACUCCGUGCCAGCAGCCGCGGUAAUAC
rnacentral:rRNA from 1 species